rnacentral:miRNA from 1 species
CCUACUCCCUCAGGCACAUC